UGACGCUACACCGGCCGGCGAUUGGGGAGUCCGUCGGGGAAAUUCCACCACUCAGGCGACGGCGGAGGAGGAUAAAAGGACGCGCUUCCGGCCGCGCGGGUAGAACGGCGAAGACACAGACUCCGUGCGAGCGCGGACGAGACCGCCGGGUGGUGAGAUCGCGUUCAACGGUGGAUGACGGCACGGGAGACCCACGCGCACGUCUCGGGAACCCCGACACGCCCUCGAGAAGGUCACAACGCCAGCCACACCCCCACGAAACCCCUCGCACUCACACGCCCUCACCUCCUCACGACAGACAAUUCACACACGGACAAAUAAAGCACCCAUUUUAACUGCAA